ACCACCCACUCCACUGCGCCACCUGCUCCAAGUCAAUCACCAUGCAACAAGGAAGCAAACACGCAACAGCCAAAGAAAAGAAAGGAAAAAGAAAACAAAAAAAAUAGGAAUUAAUAUCGGCUAUAAAAGCCAAGCAUAUAACUCUUUUUUUUCUCUUCCCUGGCAACUUUUGUAACAAAACAAAAAUAGAUUCAACCGAAAGAAAAUAAAAAAGGCAGAUUCAAGG
rnacentral:lncRNA from 1 species